GACGAAGGAUGCAAGCGUUAUCCGGAUUCAUUGGGUUUAAAGGGUGCGUAGGCGGACUGAUAAGUCAGUGGUGAAAUCUCUUUGCUUAACAAAGAAACUGCCAUUGAUACUGUCGGUCUAGAGUAUAGAUGACGUUUGGCGGAAUAUGACAUGUAGUGGUGAAAUACUUAGAUAUGUCAUAGAACACCGAUUGCGAAGGCAGCUAACGAAACUAUAACUGACGCUGAGGCACGAAAGUGCGGGGAUCAAACAGG
rnacentral:rRNA from 1 species